rnacentral:rRNA from 1 species
AUUGAACGCUGGCGGCAUGCCUUACACAUGCAAGUCGAACGGUAACAGGUCUUCGGAUGCUGACGAGUGGCGAACGGGUGAGUAAUACAUCGGAACGUGCCUAGUAGUGGGGGAUAACUACUCGAAAGAGUGGCUAAUACCGCAUGAGAUCUACGGAUGGAAGCAGGGGAUCGCAAGACCUUGUGCUACUAGAGCGGCCGAUGGCAGAUUAGGUAGUUGGUGGGAUAAAAGCUUACCAAGCCGACGAUCUGUAGCUGGUCUGAGAGGACGAUCAGCCACCAUGGGACUGAGACACGGCCCAGACUCCUACGGGAGGCAGCAGUGGGGAAUUUUGGACAAUGGGCGCAAGCCUGAUCCAGCAAUGCCGCGUGCAGGAUGAAGGCCUUCGGGUUGUAAACUGCUUUUGUACGGAACGAAAAGCCCCGGGUUAAUACCCUGGGGUCAUGACGGUACCGUAAGAAUAAGCACCGGCUAACUACGUGCCAGCCGCCGCAGUAA